rnacentral:lncRNA from 1 species
ACUUGUCUUCCGCAGCUUCCCUUCAACACGACGGCAUUUCGCCGCAGCCGGACAUUGUUAACUACGUCACGGGGACGCUCGCGCCUUUCCCCCGACAGUAAACACGCCUCGUAAGCUCUAGGAGCUCAACAAAACUAUUCAGCGCAGGAUUAUACGUACAGUCAUUGUGUGCUUUUCUUUUUGUUGAUUGUGACUCAGUUUGAGUAAUGCCGUCUGGCGGUUUGAUUUCCUGAGGGAAAGAAAGGAGGCGCAUGGACUUAUAUAAGGGGCUGAGACGCACGUCGAAAGCAGUUCCAGAUUACAGCUCUCUUGAACAGGCACCAUGAUUAGCCCCAAGAUCAUCAUAGCAGCGCUCGUAGUUUUGGCCCUGAUGAUUGUGAUGGCCAGCGCACAGUUCGGCCCAGUCAUGGGGCCCGCCUACGGAGUCGCCGCGCAACCCGCGCAGCCCGCACAACCAGUGUACGCCGCUGUGCCCGUGCGGCCGAUAUACAAGGGGCCGUUCGGAGGCAUGAGCCCGUACGCGUACGGAAUGGGACGGCGCUGAGCUCUUCCAAGACGUCAGGGCCACCGAUGUGGACGUCGUGAAUGCAGAAAUCACAAGCACAGAGCUGCUGCGACAAACAACUGGAACUUCCUCAGUCACAAACAAGCUGCCCGAUUAAUGGGUCUACUAGAAGCCUGCUCCGCUUUGUAUACGAAUUAUUUGUCAAUUCUUGUUAAGUAAAUAAAUGCGUCAUUCUUUAC